GGUUGAUCUCCAUACUGGACUGGAGGAGAACUUACCGAAAUAGUUUUUGAAACGGGUUACCUUUAAAGAAAACACCUACUACCCUAAUGGUUGCACCAAGGGAAUAAUGCAAAAGCUCUUCUGCAUUUCCGGUAGCAAUCCGGUUGCUAACUACACCGGCUUCAACACACCCACGCCAUGCGAGAAGCGAAUGCAGUGCGAACUGGAGAAACAGCGACGCAAACUGCGGGAUGUCCAUGGCAAAUUGGAUCAACAGAGCAAUCUUUUGCGUUUGAUCAUACAAAAGAUGGACAUUCAUGACGAAGCCGAACAGCUGGAUGAAGGUGCAAAU